rnacentral:rRNA from 1 species
CGAACGGGCGAGUACCACGUGGGCAACCUGCCCCAGACCCCUGGGAUAACCCCGGGAAACCGGAGCUAAUACCUGGAUACUCUCGGCGGACCGCAUGAUCUGCCGAGGAAAGCUUUCGCGGUCUGGGAUGGGCCCGCGGCCUAUCAGCUUGUUGGUGAGGUAACGGCCCACCAAGGCUGACGACGGGUAGCUGGUCUGAGAGGACGGCCAGCCACACUGGGACUGAGACACGGUCCAGACUCCAUACGGGAGGCAAGCAGUGGGGAAUCUUGCGCAAUGGGCGAAAGCCUGACGCAGCGACGCCGCGUUGGGGGAUGAAGGCCCUCGGGGUUGUAAACCCCUUUUCGGCAGGGACGGAAGCCGCAAGGUGACGGUACCUGCAGAAGAAGCUCCGGCUAACUACGUGCCAGCAGCCG